rnacentral:lncRNA from 1 species
CUUCUGCUCCCAGUGUCUCUUAACACAGAAUGGUAUGCUUCUCAGAGCGAGUGGGAAGCAGCCUGCUCGUCACCGCUCCCCACAGCACGGUGGCCCGAGCAGAGCCGGAACCUGCUUAGAGAUCGUCGAAUGGACGACCGACCGGAUGGAUGACCAAGGGGUGGAGCAAAUAAAUGAACCAUCAACGUCUCCGUUAGCAACUUUAGCCAUGUGGGGUUGAAAUUCCUUAGCGGCUGUGCUCCUCCACGAUCCGUUCUAAGUAUUUAAUCCUCUGAAGCAAAUUCUGUAACUUUUAUUCAUUUUCUACAGAAGGGAAACUGUGAAGGUUUGGAGUGACCCCAACAGUUCGGAUGUUGAGCCCUUAAUCCCCAGUUAUUUAGCCUUGAAGCUUUGAGAGAGUAUGGCAUAUUUAGCAGGAUGUGGUCACUAGCUAGGGAUGGGCCUUCCUGUAAUUAAUAUAUAUAUAUAUAUACAUAUAUAUACAUAUAUUCUUGUUGUUCUAGCCCCACUCUCUCCAGCCCCCUGUUCUCUCUGGCCCAAAGAUUUAUUUAUUUAUUAUAUGUAAGUGCACUGUAGCUGUCUUCAGAUAUACCAGAAGCGGACAUCAGAUCUCAUUACGGAGGGUUGUGAGCCACCAUGUGGUUGCUGGGAUUUGAACUCGGGACUUCUGGAAGAGCAGUCAGUGCUCUUAACCACUGAGCCAUCUCUCCAGCCCAGAUAGUGUGUGUGUGUGUGUGUGUGUGUGUGUGUGUGUGUGUGUGUCCAUGUGUGAGCAGGUGCCAUGUAGAUCAGAAAAGGAUAUUAACUUUGCUGGACCUGGAGUUACAGAUGGUUUGAUCCACCCAGUAUGGCUGCUGAGAACUAAACUAGGUUCUCUCCUUCACCACUGAGCCAUCUCUCCAGCCCCAUAGGGGAAGCCUUUGAAGUUACACUAGCUUCUACUUCCAGCCUGCCUUCUCUUCUUGUCUGUUACCAUACGAACAAACCACUUCCCAAUCUUCCCCCUGCCACCGAAAGAUCCUCUCUGUCCACCCCACCUUCCCUCAGCAAUGGACUAAAAUCUCUGUGGAACUUUGAGCUGUUCUUUCUGUUAGUGUUCUGGUUGCACAGAUAUAAAAAAUAACCAAUACGGAAAACAAGUCACCGUGAAGUUGAAUGGACUUUUCAGAGUGAGAGCGUAUCACUGUGGCAAAGACAGCCACAAAACAAAACCCCAAACCAAACGAAAAAGAAGACAAAAAACAAACAGGCAGUGAGUGAUGCAUACACUACGUGACCUCCACAUUCAUGUGCUGCACACGUUCACAGCUCACCCCAUGUAGUGAGAGACUGCCCUACAAGCUCCGCCAUUGUGGUCUUAGCCACGUAGUCAGAGAAGCUGUCAUCGUGUGCAAGUGACCCUCAAGACUGGGCCUGCUGAUGUUCCCUCUUCUAUGAGGGACCCUUAGACUCCUUGCCUGUGAUUCCAACCUCUCCUUCCCUGCUUCAUGUAGUUCUGUCUCAGCUCCGUGUGGGUCUUGGAAAGCACUAGUAUACCCAGGAGGCGG